AAGUUUAGCAGAACAUUCUGGAAAGUAUAACCAUAGAGGGUGAUAGUCCCGUAUGCGAAAAACAAACCUUAGCUAGCAGUAUCCUGAGUAGGGCGGGACACGAGGAAUCCUGUCUGAAUCCGGGUCGACCACGAUCCAACCCUAAAUACUAAUACCAGAUCGAUAGUGCACAAGUACCGUGAGGGAAAGGUGAAAAGAACUGAGGUGAUCAGAGUGAAAUAGAACCUGAAACCAUUUGCUUACAAUCAUUCAGAGCCCUAUGUAGCAAUACAGGGUGAUGGACUGCCUUUUGCAUAAUGAGCCUGCGAGUUGUGGUGUCUGGCAAGGUUAAGCAAACGCGAAGCCGUAGCGAAAGCGAGUCUGAAUAGGGCGCUUAGUCAGAUGCUGCAGACCCGAAACGAAGUGAUCUAUCCAUGAGCAAGUUGAAGCUAGUGUAAGAACUAGUGGAGGACUGAACCCAUAGGCGUUGAAAAGCCCCGGGAUGACUUGUGGAUAGGGGUGAAAGGCCAAUCAAACUUCGUGAUAGCUGGUUCUCUCCGAAAUAUAUUUAGGUAUAGCGUUGUGUCGUAAUAUAAGGGGGUAGAGCACUGAAUGGGCUAGGGCAUACACCAAUGUACCAAACCCUAUCAAACUCCGAAUACCUUAUAUGUAAUCACAGCAGUCAGGCGGCGAGUGAUAAAAUCCGUCGUCAAGAGGGAAACAACCCAGACUACCAGCUAAGGUCCCUAAAUCUUACUUAAGUGGAAAACGAUGUGAAGUUACUUAAACAACCAGGAGGUUGGCUUAGAAGCAGCCAUCCUUUAAAGAAAGCGUAAUAGCUCACUGGUCUAGUGAUUUUGCGCGGAAAAUAUAACGGGGCUAAAGUAAGUACCGAAGCUGUAGACUUAGUUUACUAAGUGGUAGGAGAGCGUUCUAUUUGCGUCGAAGGUAUACCGGUAAGGAGUGCUGGAGCGAAUAGAAGUGAGCAUGCAGGCAUGAGUAGCGAUAAUUAAUGUGAGAAUCAUUAACGCCGUAAACCCAAGGUUUCCUACGCGAUGCUCGUCAUCGUAGGGUUAGUCGGGUCCUAAGUCGAGUCCGAAAGGGGUAGACGAUGGCAAAUUGGUUAAUAUUCCAAUACCAACAUUAGUGUGCGAUGGAAGGACGCUUAGGGCUAAGGGGGCUAGCGGAUGGAAGUGCUAGUCUAAGGUCGUAGGAGGUUAUAUAGGCAAAUCCGUAUAACAAUACUCCGAGAACUGAAAGGCUUUUUGAAGUCUUCGGAUGGAUAGAAGAACCCCUGAUGCCGUCGAGCCAAGAAAAGUUUCUAAGUUUAGCUAAUGUUGCCCGUACCGUAAACCGACACAGGUGGGUGGGAUGAGUAUUCUAAGGCGCGUGGAAGAACUCUCUUUAAGGAACUCUGCAAAAUAGCACCGUAUCUUCGGUAUAAGGUGUGGUUAGCUUUGUAUUAGGAUUUACUCCGAAAGCAAGGAAACUUACAACAAAGAGUCCCUCCCGACUGUUUACCAAAAACACAGCACUCUGCUAACUCGUAAGAGGAUGUAUAGGGUGUGACGCCUGCCCGGUGCUCGAAGGUUAAUUGAUGGGGUUAGCAUUAGCGAAGCUCUUGAUCGAAGCCCGAGUAAACGGCGGCCGUAACUAUAACGGUCCUAAGGUAGCGAAAUUCCUUGUCGGUUAAAUACCGACCUGCAUGAAUGGCGUAACGAGAUGGGAGCUGUCUCAAAGAGGGAUCCAGUGAAAUUGUAGUGGAGGUGAAAAUUCCUCCUACCCGCGGCAAGACGGAAAGACCCCG
rnacentral:rRNA from 1 species